rnacentral:rRNA from 1 species
GUGGGGAAUAUUGGACAAUGGGCGAAAGCCUGAUCCAGCCAUGCCGCGUGAGUGAUGAAGGCCUUAGGGUUGUAAAGCUCUUUCAGUAGGGAAGAUAAUGACGGUACCUACAGAAGAAGCCCCGGCUAACUUCGUGCCAGCAGCCGCGGUAAUACGAAGGGGGCUAGCGUUGUUCGGAUUUACUGGGCGUAAAGCGCACGUAGGCGGAUUGGUCAGUUAGAGGUGAAAUCCUGGAGCUCAACUCCAGAACUGCCUUUAAUACUGCCAGUCUAGAGUCCAGAAGAGGUGAGUGGAACUCCUAGUGUAGAGGUGGAAUUCGUAGAUAUUAGGAAGAACACCAGUGGCGAAGGCGGCUCACUGGUCUGGUACUGACGCUGAGGUGCGAAAGCGUGGGGAGCAAACAGGAUUAGAUACCCUAGUAGUCC